UUGGUUUUUUGUUUUUUCUUUUACAAUAAGAAGAAUCAAUCAGAGGAAGAACCUUCUUGGAGACAUGGGAGAGUGUUUCUCAUUGGAGUUUAUCAAGGUGCAAGUGAAUGAUAUUCUAGCUUAGAGAGAUGUGGCCCUUCCAUAUUUCCCAGACUUUUAUGAAUGACAAGGAUACUCCAGUGGUUAUGUAGAGGACACUGUGAAGCCCAUUGUUUAAUACUGAAAGUAACUCAGGUAAGUACGUAUAUUGACUGUAUUUUACUGAAAUCCACAAUCUAGACACCACACUUAAACACAGACAUCAAGCAUUUUGCCUUAGCGCAAUGACUGAAGUCUCCUAAUACCAGAUGUUGGAAAAUCAAUUACAACAUUUUAUCAGCUGGAGCUACUAUCUUGGAUGACUAUCAUUCUUCACUGGCUAAGCAUAGAAAUGGUGGGAGUUAGGCACCUGUGACUUCUUGGGAGACAGUCUGUCUAGCCUUUCUCUGAAGACAAGCAUCUGAUGAAGCAGAGCUGGCUUCUUUUCUUUAAAAUGCAUUGUUGUUCAUGAUAUCAAACAGGCUUUUGUUAUUAUAGUGGUUGGAGCACUUUCACAAACUACUCUUGCACUCAUCUCAGCAAUAUAAGAUGAGGUUCUCAGCAUUUCAGCACUAAUCUCACCUCUAUGACCCAUAAAAUAAUGGAGCUGAUCCCUCUGGAAUACAUGUCACAACAUAUGGAAGACACAAAGGUGAUUAGAGACAGACAACAUGGUUUCACCAAGUACAAACUGUGCCUGACUAAUUGUAAGAGACUGUCCAAAUUUCCUUUAUUUGCCUCACAAUCGUCACAAGGACCCUGAAGACCCCUGACAGGAGCACUGGCCUGGCUAACGUGGAUGUUAUGCCAAGUGAUUGCUUGCAGGUGUGCUCACUGUGCUUUCACAGAACACUGCUUAGAACAGGUUCUGACAAAUGGUGGCUUGUCCUUACAUGCCGGCACCUGCCUCACAGACCAAGGGGUCUCAACACAAUGGCCCAUGAAUCUUCCCCACCUUUUGGCCAGAUGCCACUCGCUUUGGAUUAAGACUAUAUAAACUGUAACUUUUGAGACGACUUUGGUGAACUCCCAUGGAUGACGGUGAAUCUAUGUGGCUGGACCAGGAGGAUUCCAUCUCGUUGGUUUGGUAAAUGAACCAUCAUGACUUCACUUGCCCUAGCGGAUCAUGACGCUAAUCUAAUGUCCUUCUAAUGUACCAGUGGACAAAAGAAGAGCUAUGGAUGUCAUCUACCCAGACUUCUGCAAAACCUUUGAUACAGUCCCCCCACAAUAUUCUUGCUGCUCCACUGGAGAGACACAGGUUUGACAAAUGGACUGUUAAAUGGGUAAGGAACCAGCUGGGUGGCUGAGCCCAGUGAGUUCCAGACAAUUGUUCAGCAUCCAGGUGGAAACCAGUAAUGAGUGGGGUCCUUCAAGGUCCAUACUAUGAUAAACAUUAGGUCGUAUCUUCGUCAAUAACAUGGACAGUGGCACUGAGAGCAUCCACAAGUUUGCAGAUAAUGCCAAGUUUAGUGAUGCAGUUGUUUCACUGGAGGGAUGGAAUGCCGUCCAGAGGGUUCUGUGAAAGGCUUGAGGAGUGAAACCAUAGGAACACCAUUAAGUUCAAGAAGGAUACUUUCGAAGAGGCGCCUCCUUUGAAAUACCCAGCAAAGAUGUUCAACUUCCCAUUUCUACAUAUUGUUUAAAAUAGUUUUUUGGGGAGACAGACUAAGACACAGAAUGGCAGAGGAGUAUAUUUUAUACCUUUAUUAUUUUUUCAAAAGCAUCUACUUUCAUUCUGACUGCCGGUGAUACAGAAACACUUCUUAAAAGAAACCCCAAAACUGAAUAGGUUGGAGCCUUUUCAUGAGGAAACCAGAAGGGAGGAUGGGACUGUCUAUGGUCACUCUGAAGAAAAAUGAAUUCUCUAAAAAUUACAUGGAGGAUAGGUUAUUUAUCAGUGGUGAAUGAUAUACAGAUUUCUUCUUCAUCAAAUUCACGGAGUCACAGACUUUUUUCUUCUCUGUAACCUCUUAAGUCUUUCUGCAAGGAGAACCAUCUACCUUAGAAAGAGUUUUAAAUAGAUUUUGA